AUUGCAGGCUGCAACCCGCCCUGCAUGAAGUCGGAAUUGCUAGUAAUCGCGGAUCAGCAUGCCGCGGUGAAUACGUUCCCGGGCCUUGUACACACCACCCGUCACACCAUGGGAGCCGGUAAUACCCGAAGUCAGUAGUCCAACCACGUGAGGACGCUGCCGAAGGUAGGAUUGGCGACUGGGGUGAAGUCGUAACAAGGUACC
rnacentral:rRNA from 1 species